AUGCAAUCUUUUGAUGAAGAACUUAAUUUGGAAGUUUCUAUACCUAGAAAACUUAAUGAUGAGAGGGAACCUACUAUAAAGAUUAAAAUUAAAGAUUAUGAGUGUUUUGCUUUAUGUGAUUUGGGUGCUAGUGUUUCCACAAUUCCGAAAACUUUAUGUGAUAUUCUAGGUUUCCAUGAUCUUGAUGAUUGCUCUUUAAAUUUGCACCUUGCGGAUUCCAUCGUUAAAACGACAAUGGGAAGGAUCAAUGAUGUUCUCAUUAUUGCAAAUAGAAAUUUGGUUCCCGUAGUUUUUAUCGUUCUUGAUAUAGAUUACAAUAUAGAUUACAAUAUUUCUUGUCCUAUUAUUCUUGAUAUUGGCGCGAUUAUUGAUAUGAAGGAAGGGAAUAUUAGAUUCCAGUUUCCACUAAGGAAAGGCAUGGAUCACUUUCCAAGAAAUAAAAUCAAAUUACCUUAUGAAUCUAUCAUGCGAGCUACUUAUGAAUCAAGUGCCAAAGAUGGCACUAGUUAG
rnacentral:rRNA from 1 species